UUAAGGAGGUAAAAAUUAAAAAAAGGGCUACCCAAUGUGAUGUUUUUUAGUGCUUACUGAUCUGAUGUACGGGGUGGGAAGGAGUUCACAGGCCCAGGAGUAAAGGCUAACAUCACAUUAUUAUCCUCUGAAAGACUAGUGCCAUUACAGAUCAGCUUCCUUAACACCUCUCAUCAGGUGCCAGGGAGACUGCACAUCACAGACUGAUGUGUCAUUGCUUGGUCAAGCCCUUGCUCUACCUCCCGCGUUUUUCAAAUGCCAAGCACACCGGCAUGCUUCACUUCAGUGCUGCAGAAUGUGGACUUCAUUCCACAGUCAUACUCUGAAGGAAAAAGAGCUACAAAGAAUAAUGACCCAUGAAUUCUGGAGAGGAACGCAAAGCUGAUCGCUUUGAACUGCUGAAAUCUGGUGACUUGCAAUCAAUAGUCUGUGAAACUGUGUCAGCAGUGUGAAGAUUCAGAUUUUCUGCCUCUAAUAGCAGACUGAUGUGCUUGGACCACUGAGGU